GACAGAGGGUGCAAACGUUGUUCGGAAUUACUGGGCGUAAGGCGCGUGUAGGCGGUCUUCUAAGUCGGAUGUGAAAGCCCCGGGCUCAACCCGGGAAGUGCACUCGAAACUGGAAGGCUAGAGUAUCGGAGAGGUUGGUGGAAUUCUCGGUGUAGAGGUGAAAUUCGUAGAUAUCGAGAGGAACACCGGUGGCGAAGGCGGCCAACUGGACGAAUACUGACGCUGAGACUCGAAAGCGUGGGGAGCAAACAGG
rnacentral:rRNA from 1 species